rnacentral:rRNA from 1 species
AUACGGAGGAUCCGAGCGUUAUCCGGAUUUAUUGGGUUUAAAGGGUGCGCAGGCGGGAGAUUAAGUCGGCGGUGAAAUUUUGCAGCUUAACUGUAAAAGUGCCUUCGAAACUGGUUUCCUUGAGUGUAGAUGAAGUAGGCGGAAUUUGUGGUGUAGCGGUGAAAUGCAUAGAUAUCACGAGGAACUCCGAUUGCGCAGGCAGCUUACUAAACUGUAACUGACAUUGAGGCUCGAAAGUGUGGGUAGC